UCAGAUCCCUGCGAGCAUUUUCAAAAUUCAAUUAUUUUAGACAACAGGCACAUAUGCAAUACUGACAUAAUCUCAAAUACCACUAAGCAGCUGGGACACAUUUUUGUUGACCAUACUCGCCGGUAAAACAAGUAGAUCAUGUGGACAGCUCCAGCUCAUUUUCCUUAAAUCAGUGUGUACAAGGGGUAUGCAAAAAUAUUUUUUUUCUCGCGCACCGAUUAUUUUGCUGUAUAAGCAAGAGAACCCACCACGUUAGUGUAACGUAUCUUGUACAUCACACUAAUAUGUGCUUUAAUUUACCAAGUGAGAUGAGUUACUUUUAUGGCUCAUUCAGUCAUAUCACACUGCAAGCUGCAUUCAUCAAUCUUCAAUAGGAUUUUGCAAAUUUUUAUUGAAACAUGUUUCCCUUUUAUGCAGAUAUGCAAUGGCAAGCCCUUCCGUGUGUUCCAAAGGUAAAAUUUAAGCUCUAAAUUAAAGAAGACAUUUCUAGUCAGAAACAAGCAAAAAUGGUGAAUGCAGAGUAUCAGAAGCCCAAGGUACAGAAAUUAUGAGAAGUGUCGAAUGAUUUUAAGGAAAGAGUCAUAUUUGAAAAUUCAAGACUCUUUAGUGGAGGUCAAGCAAGUCAAUAUAGGUAGAAAACUCUGCAAAAUUAUGCGAGUGAGGGGAUGUCAAACAAUGGGUCAGGAAAUGCGUUGUUUUUCUGCAAAACAAAAGCUGAUUGCCAUUACAUAAGUCACUUUAGCAUCGUGAGACUGCUGCUUGAUAAAUUCAGAAAUAAACCAGAAAACAAGACACGCAAUAAUAAAAAACAAUUUAAUGAUGCUCUCUCCACACUGGGAUAAAUAAAAACAAACACAUCACAUCUAAUGUGGACAUAUCAGACGCCUUGUGAAACACUAAAGGAAAAAUUCAGUUUCGAGCUAUGGCACUUGCCACAUAGAUGUGGGGGGCCUUGCACUAAUAGUGAUAGUUACCACUGCAUUUAGAAAUUGAAAGCAUUCAUGCAGACAAGGAUGAUUCUUUAUAUUUUUGGCUACCACUUCAAAUGCCUCCACCAAGUGUUACAAUGCUGCACGCAGCCAUACUAAGGAUCUCGCAGCAACACCUGCAGGUAAAAAGCAGAAGCAGUCAAAGUGCUGGUGUGUACUGGGCACUAUGUUUGAAAAUUUUUAAACAAGAAGAGUGCAAGAAGCAAACGUAACAAAUGCAUUUAUUUCCAUAAUUCCCCAUUUGAAUGGCCUUUUCUUUUUGCUUAGACAAUGCCUAUGACUAGCCACAGCAGCUCCCUCAUACAGACUCCGCAAGCCAAGAGGCCGUGGAAGCAAAUGCAGGCAGCCAGCACACCUCGAACGGCCACCUUGACUGCGGGUGUGUCACCCUAGUCGCCAAGGAAACAUAUGAGGGAAAGCGACAGGCAAUGUGAACAGCCACUUCUCCAUGUAAACGAUACUCUUUCUCUCGGAUGACUCCUACGCCUCGCCACGCCAGCACUCUUGUGCACAAAGAUGCCGCGGAGGCACGUGCAAGUCAGAGGCAAGAAGCAGUGGCACUGGUGUCGACAUUCACCCAAUUUCUUUUUCUUACACUGAGGCAGCCAGCACACCUCGAACAGCCACCUUGACUGCGGGUGUGUCAGUAGAUUCCUGUUGUACAUAUGCUCAUAAUAAACUUCAGUAAACUUGAA